rnacentral:rRNA from 1 species
UACAGAGGGGGCAAGCGUUGUUCGGAAUUACUGGGCGUAAAGGGCGCGUAGGCGGCCUGUUAAGUCGAACGUGAAAUCCCCGGGCUCAACCCGGGAACUGCGUCCGAUACUGGCAGGCUUGAAUCCGGGAGAGGGAUGCGGAAUUCCAGGUGUAGCGGUGAAAUGCGUAGAUAUCUGGAGGAACACCGGUGGCGAAGGCGGCAUCCUGGACCGGCAUUGAUGCUGAGGCGCGAAAGCCAGGGGAGCAAACGGG